rnacentral:lncRNA from 1 species
AGGGGCGCGGGCACGCGCCAGGCAGCAGCACCAGAGCGCCCAGAGCCACCCCCAGCCCGCGGAAGGCCGGGGCCGGCCACCCAACCAUUCGACUUGGUCCCACUGGCCGAACUGAUGGCGCCUUCUGUCCAGGCUGAAGUCACGUGCAGCAGACAGGGUCUGCAAUCGACAGAUGACAGCCAGAGAGAGGAAGCUGCCGACCGUGGAGGGACAGCGGUGACCAGGAGGCCUCACGCACCCCCCACCCCCCGGCCGCCAGCGCCAGGCCCCUGCAGGGCCCACAUGGGAUGCGGAAGGGGCACUCGCCCCUUGAGGAAGGGCAAGGUGCGUGGCCCCGUCCCCCAUGCCCGGGCGUGGGGGCUCUUCCCUGGGCGUAUGGGCAGGUCCCACCCAGCUGGGCACCCCCUGGCCUACCACAGGGACCCCUGAGAGGAGCGCUGGGCGUGUCGGCAGGAGACGGAUCAGGUGGGUGAGGGCAGGGCGCGGGGAGGGCUUGGCCCACUGGGUUCUCGCAACCAUGCGCACCUC